CUUUCCAUGUUCUGUCCUUUUAUUGUCUCCAGUAGGGUUGGAAACAGAGCAGAAGUGCAGCUGGGGCAGGAUGCCUCUUGGGUGGACUCAAGUUUGUUUUAAUUGAAUCUAAAAAAACCUCGUUGUCUAACACAUGGUAUGUGCCAUCUGACAGUGGAUAAAAAGCCUCAGAUCAGUGACAACUGAGAUGGAAGCAAGACUGUGGUUGUAUCAGCUGAAAGCAGCUCAUAGUCUAGGUGCUGACUGUCUAUGGGCAUCAUCGUUUCACAUAUUGAGUGCCUUGUGGGGGGUGCAGAGUUCCUUCAGCUCACGUUGUGUUUAAGUGCAUUUUGUUUUCCUGUGGACACCCAGGGGCUCCUGUGCUCCUAGAAGAGUUCUCCUGCAACUGGCCCAAUGCCCAGGAAAAGGGGAAGUGAGAGGAUUCCUUACAAGAAAGUUUGUCUUUCUGAUACAUCUCCUAUUUUUUACAUAUUUAAUUAGUGUAUGGUAUAUUUUUAAAACAACCUGACUUAGCUGACUCAUAUGCAGUUUGGAAUACCCCAGAUCCUUUUCUACAAAGCUUCUAACAAGCUGGAUUUUUCCCCUACUAUAUUUAUAGAGUUAUUAAUUCAGAUUUAAGUGCAGGAGUCUGCAUUACUCCUUUCUGACCUCAGCUGUAUUUCAGAGUAUUGCUCCAGUAGGCAAAGGUCUUUUCCAUUCUGGUCUUAUUCUCCUAAGUGUUUGUUAUCUGCCCUGUUUGAUGCUGU